rnacentral:ncRNA from 1 species
GGUGCUGCGUUACGCAGUUAAAAGGGAAUCCUGUGAGAAUCUGGAACGGACCCGCCGCUGUAACCGUGGAUGACCCCCGCCAUUACCACUGAUGAAGAUAUUCAUUGGGAAGGGGCGGGCAGUAAAAUGAUACGGGAGUCAGAAAACCUGCCUUGCAGA